rnacentral:rRNA from 1 species
AGAACGAACGCUGGCGGCAUGCCUAACACAUGCAAGUCGAACGCCUGUAGCAAUACAGGAGUGGCGCACGGGUGAGUAACGCGUGGGAACCUACCCUGGAGUGGGGGAUAACCGAGAGAAAUUUCGGCUAAUACCGCAUACGACCUGAGGGUGAAAGAUUUAUCGCUCUAGGAGGGGCCCGCGUCGGAUUAGCUAGUUGGUGGGGUAACGGCCUACCAAGGCAACGAUCCGUAGCUGGUCUGAGAGGAUGAUCAGCCACACUGGGACUGAGACACGGCCCAGACUCCUACGGGAGGCAGCAGUGGGGAAUAUUGGACAAUGGGCGCAAGCCUGAUCCAGCCAUGCCGCGUGAGUGAUGAAGGCCCUAGGGUUGUAAAGCUCUUUGUGCGGGAAGAUAAUGACGGUACCGCAAGAAUAAGCCCCGGCUAACUUCGCGCCAGCAGCCGC